UUAUACAGCGAAACUGCGAAUGGCUCAUUAAAUCAGUUAUCGUUUAUUUGAUAGUGCCCAUCUACAUGGAUAACCGUGGUAAUUCUAGAGCUAAUACAUGCGUAAAAGCGCGACUUCGGGAGCGCUGUAUUUAUUAGAUUAAAGACCAAUGCCCUCCGGGGCUCACUGGUGAUUCAUGAUAACUCCUCUGAUCGCACGGCCUUGCGCCGGCGACGGCUCAUUCAAAUUUCUGCCCUAUCAACUUUCGACUUUAGUGUAGUGGACUAAAGUGGUUGCAACGGGUAACGGAGGGUUAGGGCUCGACCCCGGAGAAGGAGCCUGAGAAACGGCUACUACAUCCAAGGAAGGCAGCAGGCGCGCAAAUUACCCAAUCCCGACACGGGGAGGUAGUGACAAUAAAUACUGAUACAGGGCUCUUUCGGGUCUUGUAAUCGGAAUGAGUACAAUCUAAAUCCUUUAACGAGGAGCAAUUGGAGGGCAAGUCUGGUGCCAGCAGCCGCGGUAAUUCCAGCUCCAAUAGCGUAUAUUAAAGUUGUUGUGGUUAAAAAGCUCGUAGUUGAACCUGGGCCCCGUCCCGGCCGGUCCGCCUCACCGCGUGCACUGGUUCGGGAGGGGCUUCGCACCUUGGGGGUACGCAUGCCCUUCGCUGGGCGUGCGGGGAACCAGGACUUUUACUGUGAAAAAAUUAGAGUGUUCAAAGCAGGCCUAUGCUCGAAUACAUUAGCAUGGAAUAAUAAAAUAGGACGUGCGGUUCUAUUUUGUUGGUUAUGGGACCGCCGUAAUGAUUAAUAGGGACAGUCGGGGGCGUCAGUAUUCGGUGGUCAGAGGUGAAAUUCUUGGACCCACCGAAGACUAACUACUGCGAAAGCAUUCGCCAAGGAUGUUUUCAUUAAUCAGGAACGAAAGUUAGGGGAUCGAAAACGAUCAGAUACCGUUGUAGUCUUAACCAUAAACUAUGCCGACUAGGGAUCGGGCGAUGUUGCUUACUGACUCGCUCGGCACCUUUCGAGAAAUCAAAGUCUG
rnacentral:rRNA from 1 species